GCGCCCAUAGCUCAACUGGAUAGAGUAUCAGACUACGAAUCUGAAGGUUGAAGGUUCGACUCCUUCUGGGCGCACCA
rnacentral:tRNA from 1 species